UACGGAGGGUGCAAGCGUUAUCCGGAUUCACUGGGUUUAAAGGGUGCGUAGGCGGGUUGGUAAGUCAGUGGUGAAAUCUUCAAGCUUAACUUGGAAACUGCCGUUGAUACUAUCAAUCUUGAAUGUUGUGGAGGUAAGCGGAAUAUGUCAUGUAGCGGUGAAAUGCUUAGAUAUGACAUAGAACACCAAUUGCGUAGGCAGCUUACUACACGAUCAUUGACGCUGAGGCACGAAAGCGUGGGGAGCAAACAGG
rnacentral:rRNA from 1 species